CGCGUAGGCGGUCUGCUAAGUUCGGUGUGAAAUCCCCUGGCUCAACUGGGGAACUGCGCCGGAAACUGGCAGACUAGAGUACCGGAGAGGAGGGUGGAAUUCCUGGUGUAGCGGUGAAAUGCGUAGAUAUCAGGAGGAACACCGGUGGCGAAGGCGGCCCUCUGGACGGAUACUGACGCUGAGGCGCGAAAGCGUGGGGAUCAAACAGGAUUAGAUACCCUGGUAGUCCACGCUGUAAACGAUGGGAACUAGGUGUGAGAGGUUAGAUCCUCUCGUGCCGCCGCUAACGCAUUAAGUUCCCCGCCUGGGGAUUACGGCCGCAAGGUUAAA
rnacentral:rRNA from 1 species